GGGGUUGUAGCUCGGUAGUAGAGCAUUUGCCUAGCACGUGUGAGGCCCUGGGUUCGAUCCCCAGCACCA
rnacentral:tRNA from 1 species